rnacentral:piRNA from 1 species
UGAAAAUAGCAUUCAAUAAGACAGGUUC